rnacentral:rRNA from 1 species
UAAGGAAUAUUGCUCAAUGGGAGAAAUCCUGAAGCAGCAACGCCGCGUGGAGGAUGAAGGGUCUAUGACUUGUAAACUCCUGUAAAGAAGGAAAAAAUUCCCAUUAGAUGGGAGAUGAUGGUACUUCUGGAGUAAGCCCCGGCUAACUACGUGCCAGCAGCCGCGGUAAUACGUAGGGGGCAAGCGUUAUCCGGAUUUACUGGGUUUAAAGGGUGCGUAGGUGGGCAGAUAAGUCAGUGGUGAAAUCUUCCGGCUUAACCGGGAAACUGCCGUUGAUACUAUUUGUCUUGAAUAUUGCGGAGGUAAGCGGAAUAUGUCAUGUAGCGGUGAAAUGCUUAGAUAUGACAUAGAACACCAAUUGCGAAGGCAGCUUACUACACAAUCAUUGACACUGAGGCACGAAAGCGUGGGUAGCGAACA